UCCAAGUUUCAAAAACGGCGGGAUGACGGUUGCAGUUUUUUUUUAGAAAACGUCUGCCCAUCCCGACACUUAACACUCCCUACGUUACUAAGAAAACUCCAACCGUCAUCCCGCCGUUUUUUGAAA
rnacentral:pre_miRNA from 1 species